CUCGUGUUUAUUUUUUUGGCGCCAAAGUUGGCACGUCAUUUUCCCGCCAAAAUGUAACAAAAUCGAAAAACAAAAUCGAUACGAUUUUUAGGAAUGGCAAGUUCUAUCCUGUGAGGAAGUUUCGUGAUAUUCCAAACUAACGACAGAAAGUUAUUUGUACGUGGCCGAAUUUGCUGUCUUUUGUGCCCACAGGCAGCUUGUUCUGACAACAUAUAUAUGGCAUAGUGCCACUCUCUGCGACACAAAAUCAGGCAAUCAUAGCACAAUAUAAACUGACUUGUGCUCCAGAUUGCUUUGUGUAGGAGGAAAUCCAUCUAGGAGAAAGAAAGC